CAGGACUGCUGGGCCGGUGGGGGGCUGCGGGAGGGGCUCUGGGGCCUGCCCUCUCCCCCAUUCCCCCAACCGUGGCCUCGGGGGAUCCGUCCCUUCUCUUCUCUGUAAGACAAAGGCACAGCCUGCUCAGGGUCCCGUGCGCGUCCCUCCUCCCUGCUCAUUGCUGCAGGCCUGGCCUGGGCCGAGAGUUUCCAGGAGGGGGGAGCCGUCAUAAAUUCCUGAAGUGCCCGGUCUUGUUGGGGCCUGCGCUGCAGACAGCCUCGCUGGAAGACGGGUCGUGUUUAAUUUCCAGCUCGUAACGUGCAGCACACUGUGCUCCCAGCUGCGCCGCAGAGCAGUGGGUACAGCCGUGCUGGGCCUGGUGGGCCCUUCCCAGGGCCCCAAGCCCACUCAGACCUGGCCCCCCGGCCCCCAUGCAGGGUUUGUUCCCUCUCGCAGAGCAACCCCGGGUCUGCCUGGUCCCUUUAGGAGUGAUUAGCUGGUGGGGGUCUCCUGGGGCCUCAGGCUCAGCCUUGAGGGAAGAUCUUGCCCCAGGGGCGCAGCUGGAGGGCAUGUGACCACCGACUCCCUUGCCACCUGUGGGUCCCGACUGCUGCCCAUCCCCCGUGUGACCUUGGGCAUGUGACUCCCUCUGUCCGAGCUUUAUUUCCUCCAAGAAUAUGGAUUUUAUAGCUUUUACUUCUGGGCGUGGUGUGUGGGUAAAUGAUCCCUAGCUGAGGCCAGCGGGCCCUCCCCGGGUGGCGUUUGCCGUUGUGAACGUGUGUUCCCAUCUCCGAGGCCAGGUGCUCUGCUAGGGCUGUUGUGAACGUGUGUUCCCAGCUCCACGGCCAGGUGCUCUGGUAGGGCUGUUGUGAACGUGUGUUCCCAUCUCCACGGCCAGGUGCUCUGCUAGGGCUGUUGUGAACGUGUAUUCCCAUCUCCACGGCCAGGUGCUCUGGUAGGGCUGUUGUGAACGUGUGUUCCCAUCUCCACGGCCAGGUGCUCUGCUAGGGCUGUUGUGAACGUGUGUUCCCAUCUCCGAGGCCAGGUGCUCUGGUAGGGCUGUUGUGAACGUGUAUUCCCAGCUCCACGGCCAGGUGCUCUGGUAGGGCCGUUGUGAACGUGUAUUCCCAUCUCCAAGGCCAGGUGCUCUGCUAGGGCUGUUGUGAACGUGUGUUCCCUUCUCCACGGCCAGGUGCUCUGCUAGGGCUGUUGUGAACGUGUGUUCCCAGCUCCACGGCCAGGUGCUCUGCUAGGGCUGUUGUGAACGUGUGUUCCCUUCUCCACGGCCAGGUGCUCUGCUCGGGCUGCAGGAUCCUCGAUGGGUGCCUGUUCUGCUGCAGAUGAAAGGGGUGCCUGUGAGCAGAGCUAGGGCUAGACUGAAGGUCCCUGUCCCUGGCUCCACCUCUGGCCCUGCCUGGCUGGACUCCCCAGGCCCCUGUAGCCGGUGGGCGCUGAGUGGAGCCCCUUCCCCCACUGGGUCGGCCAGACCCCCAGCACCCAGCCCUCUUGAUUUGGUGGCUUGUCCCUAGAGGCCACUGAGGAUGCACAUGCAGGAGGAGGGGGCCCUCAGGAGGUGGGGGCAUCUGAGACACCACCCCCCCCCGCCCCCCUGCCCCCUGGCACUGGGGUGAAGGCGGCUGUCCCUGCUCUGUGCUGGCUGCAGGGGUUGUGUGAGCCCCCGGGGUGUUGGGGGAUUUUCAGCCCUCCGCCCCCAGGGUGGGCUCCCCACAGCCCCCUUCCCCAGGGUCUCCCCUCCUGGCCCUCAAGCCCCUGCUCAUCUCUGGGCCAGUCAGGUGCACCCGUUGGGGGCUGGGGUCUUUCUGCCUCUGCUGGACCGGGGGCUGUGUGACAGGCCCUGUUGGAGGAAGCUGUGGGCCAUGGGGAUGCUCCUGCCUGGGCCCCUGGGAGCUGCUGCAGCCCUGGGGCUUCCAGAACAUUCACCGGGCUCUUGCCU